GUGAACGCUGGCGGCGUGCUUAACACACGCAAGUCGAACGCGAAAGUGGGAGCAAUCCUGCGAGUAGAGUGGCGAACGGGUGAGUAAUAUGUGGGUAAUCUGCCUUCGAGAGGGGGAUAACCCGGCGAAAGCUGGGCUAAUACCGCGUAACACUGCUUGGAUUUCGGUCCGAGUAGUCAAAUGAUGGCCUCUAUUUAUAAGCUAUCGCUCGAAGAUGAGCCCACAUCCUAUCACGCUUGUUGGUGAGGUAAAGGCUCACCAAGGCGACGACGGGUAGCCGGCCUGAGAGGGUGUCCGGCCACACUGGAACUGAGACACGGUCCAGACUCCUACGGGAGGCAGCAGUGGGGAAUUUUUCGCAAUGGGCGCAAGCCUGACGAAGCAACGCCGCGUGGAGGAUGAAGGCCCUAGUGGUCGUAAACUCCUGUCUAGGGGGACGAAUGUUUUCAGGGUGAAUAAUCCUGGAGAGUGACUGUACCCCUGGAGGAAGCUCCGGCCAACUCCGUGCCAGCAGCCGCGGUAAUACGGAGGGAGCAAGCGUUACUCGGAAUUAUUGGGCGUAAAGGGCGCGUAGGCGAUUGAGAUAGUCUCCUGUGAAAGCCCCCGGCUUAACCGGGGAAGUGCAGAAGAUACUUCUCAAUUUGAGUUCCGGAGAGGAAGGCAGAAUUCCCGGUGUAGCGGUGAAAUGCGUAGAGAUCGGGAGGAAUACCAGUGGCGAAGGCGGCCUUCUGGACGGAUACUGACGCCGAGGCGCGAAAGCUAGGGGAGCAAACGGGAUUAGAUACCCCGGUAGUCCUAGCCGUAAACGAUGUAUGCUUGGUGUGAGCCGGUUUUCGGUUCGUGCCGUAGUUAACGCAAUAAGCAUACCGCCUGGGGAGUACGGUCGCAAGGCUGAAACUCAAAGGAAUUGACGGGGGCCCGCACAAGCGGUGGAGCAUGUGGUUCAAUUCGAUGCAACGCGAAGAACCUUACCGGGGUUUGAACUGUAGUGGAAACCUCCAGAGAUGGAGUCCCCUAGCAAUAGGCCGCUGCAGAGGUGCUGCAUGGCUGUCGUCAGCUCGUGUCGUGAGAUGUUGGGUUAAGUCCCGCAACGAGCGCAACCCUUGCUGUUAGUUGCUCAUAUCACUUCGGUGAUUUAGCACUCUAAUAGGACUGCUGGUGAUAAACCGGAGGGAGGUGGGGAUGACGUCAAGUCAUCAUGGCCUUUAUGUCCCGGGCUACACACGUGCUACAAUGGCCGGUACAGAGGGUUGCAAAACCGCAAGGUGGAGCCAAUCCCACAAAACCGGCCUCAGUUCGGAUUGCACUCUGCAACUCGAGUGCAUGAAGGUGGAAUCGCUAGUAAUCGCGGAUCAGCAUGCCGCGGUGAAUACGUUUCCGGGCCUUGUACACACCGCCCGUCACACCACGAAAGUGGAUUGUACCUUAAGUCGCCGAGCUAACCCUUUGGGAGGCAGGUGCCCAAGGUAUGAUUCAUGAUUGGGGUG
rnacentral:rRNA from 1 species